CGCUGGCGGCAUGCCUUACACAUGCAAGUCGAACGGUAACAGGUCUUCGGAUGCUGACUAGUGGAGAACGGGUGAGUAAUACAUCGGAGCGUGCCCAGUAAUGGGGGAUAGCUCGGCGAAUGCCGGAUUAAUACCGCAUACGCCCUGAGGGGGAAAGUGGGGGAUCGCAAGACCUCACGUUAUUGUAGCGGCCGAUGGCUGAUUAUCUAGUUGGUAGGGUAAAGGCCUACCAAGGCGACGAUCAGUAGCUGGUCUGAUAGGACGAUCAGCCACACUGGCACUGAGACACGGACCAGACUCCUACAGUAGGCAGCAAUGGGGAAUUUUGGACUAUGGGGGAAACCCUGAUCCACCGAUGCCGCGUGGGCGAAUAAGGCCUUCGGGUUGUAAAGCACUUUUGUCAUGUAAGAAAUCCUUUGGGCUAAUACCCUAGGGGGAUGACGGUACCUGAAUAAUAACCACCGACUAACUACGUGCCUCCAGCCGCGGUAAUACGUAAGGUGCAAGCGUUAAUCGGAAUUACUGGGCGUAUAGCGUGCGCAGGCGGUUGUGUAAGACAGGUGUGAAAUCCCCGGGCUUAACCUGUGAAUUGCAUUUGUGACUGCACUACUAGAGUGUGUCAGAAGGGGGUGGAAUUCCACGUGUACCAGUGAAAUGCGUAAAUAUGUGGAGGAACACCAAUGGCCAAAGCAGCCCCCUGGGAUAACACUGACGCUCAUGCACUAAAGCGUGAGGAGCAGACAAGAUUACAUACCCUGAUACUCCACGCCCUAAACGAUGUCAACUAGUUGAUGUGGAUUUACUUCCUUGGUAACGUAGCUAACGCGAGAAGUUGACCGCGUGGGGAGUACGGCAGCAAGGUUAAAACUCAAAGGAAUUGACGGGGACCCGCACAAGCGGUGGAUGAUGUGGAUUAAUUCGAUGCAACGCGAAAAACCUUACUUACCCUUGACAUGAGCAGGAACUUUCCAGAGAUGGAUUGGUGUCUGGAAAGAGAACCCGCACACAGGUGGUGCAUGGCCGUCGUCAGCUCGUGUAGUGAGAUGUUGGGUUAAGUCCCGCAACGAGCGCAACCCUUGUCAUUAGUUGCUACGAAAGGGCACUCUAAUGAGACUGCCGGUGACAAACCGGAGGAAGGUGGGGAUGACGUCAAGUCCUCAUGGCCCUUAUGGGUAGGGCUUCACACGUCAUACAAUGGUCGGUACAGAGGGUAGCCAAGCCGCGAGGUGGAGCCAAUCCCAGAAAACCGAUCGUAGUCCGGAUCGCAGUCUGCAACUCGACUGCGUGAAGUCGGAAUCGCUAGUAAUCGCGGAUCAGAAUGCCGCGGUGAAUACGUUCCCGGGUCUUGUACACACCGCCCGUCACACCAUGGGAGUGGGUUGUACCAGAAGUGGAUAGUCUAACCGCAAGGGGGACGGUCACCACGGUAGGAUUCAUGACUGGGGUG
rnacentral:rRNA from 1 species